rnacentral:lncRNA from 1 species
AGACAGGUUGCCCAGGGAAGUGGUUGCAUCACUGUCCCUGGGGGUCUUCAAGGAAAGGCCGGACCUGGUGCCUAGGGGCAUGGUUUAGUGGGUGACAUUGGUAGUGUGGUGAUGACCUUGAGGUAGGACCAGAUGAUCUUGGAGGUUUUUUUCCAACCUUAAUGAUUCUACGAUCCCUCAAAUUGCGCUGGGACAAGCAGAGCAAGAGCAGGGGCUUCUGGGCUGCACAGAGCAAACAGGUCCCUUUUGGCCUGCUCCCAGGUGCUUCUACAUAGCAGAUAGAAAAACACACACCCUGGUGUUGAGGGGGUUAAUGUGACAUUGCAAAAGGAGCUUUGCUGUUUGCUGUUUUGUUUGGCCAAUAGCUGACACAAGCACAUUUUGCCACCUGGCUAAUUUUGUGCUGCCAAGUUAUUCAUUCAGGCCAGUGGUGUGAAAAAGGAGACAUUUAAUAGUCAACAGAGCACUAUAUAGGGUAAUAGUUUAUGAUUUUCCAUGACUACUUAGAUGCUGUUCAAAUUAUUCUUGAUUGAGCAAAUUAUUCUUUUUAAAAAUCAUCCCAUUCAUUUAUUUACUAAUGAUUCUAUCCCCUCCCUCCCAUGCACCAUUUUUUUUUUUUUUUUAGUGGGAACUAUCAGCCGUUUCCCUGUUAGAGGGGAUUUAGCCAAAUGACAGCUAAGAGUGCAUUGCAGCUUGCGUUACAACUUCGAAAGACUUUUCAUCCAGGCAGUAAAAGUGGAGCAGAAUUCCUUUCUGAACUUUCCAGGGAACCCUGCGUAGCGCUUAAGAUGGGGCAGUGUGAAAACACUAACAGCUUGGUUUAGCAGACGAACAAUGUAAUGCUCCCUCCUCGAAAUGAUUUUCUUUUUCAUUGAGUUAGCUUCUUUUUGUUAUUGUUCUGCUCGUUUGCUCUUUUUGAAGCCGAACGAGCCCCUGAAGGGGGUGCUCUCCGAAGGGUUUGUGCCAGGCAAACCCUGGCACAACCCUUUUGGUGAGGCGGGAGCGUGGCGCUGCCGGGCCAGGAGGCCUCGCUGGCCCAACCGGGAGGGCAGGGCCCAGCACAGCCCCACGGACCAGCCGGGUCUGUAGCGAUAGGAGACUCGUGGCAAGGCCACCCUAGAUUAAUUUUGAAACAGCAAAGCUUUCCUCAAGAUCGCCCACCUUUAAUAGAUGAAUUAUCUCGCAAGAUAGUGGCGUGUAGGUGCUUAACUGCAUACCAGAGACUGUAUUCUUGGCAGAUCUAUUUUGUACUCAUUUGCUUUUACAAAAACUUCCUCCCAUGGCAGAGGCACACAGAGAUAGAGGGCAAUCCAUUGCCUUCUGUAGCAAACAUACUGGCACUGUACGUAAAUUGGAUUUCCAGAUUUUUGCUUACCUUUGCUAAGCCAAAGGGAGGAGGGCCCAUCAAGUCAUCUUGCUCUACAGAUGCUAGUUUAUUAAGCUAUAAUGUCAAAAGUUGUCAAAGCAGAAUUACGCUCACUUUUAUGAGUUUAUCUAGUGUCAUAUAGUUUAGAAAAACACUGGUGUUAAUAUUCAUUGUAUGGCUUAAUUGGUUUGAUAGUGUAGCAACACCAGUAUCAUGAGAUGCUUGUUAUGUAGGUCUUCAUGUUUUUUCAAAGUCUUUAUUAUUAUGACAGCAAAGUCUUGUUCAUUAAAGUUUCACAAUCCAUUUUCAUUAGGAUGAAACUGAUUCUGUAAAUGAACAGUUGCUCUGAAAAAUCAAACCCUUGCAGCUAUCACAGGGGAGGUACAAAGUCUGUAUUAAUUAUCAGGAAUAUGGUGUCGAUCGAAGAUGUUAAUUGCCCUGAUGGUUAGUUAUUUGGGGAAUUGCCAUGCAUUUCAUGCAGGGAUAAUAAAAAUGAAUUUUUAAACA